GAUGAACGCUGGCGGCGUGCCUAAUACAUGCAAGACGAGCGAACAGACGAGGAGCUUGCUCCUCUGACGUUAGCGGCGGACGGGUGAGUAACACGUGGAUAACCUACCUAUAAGACUGGGAUAACUUCGGGAAACCGGAGCUAAUACCGGAUAAUAUAUUGAACCGCAUGGUUCAAUAGUGAAAGACGGUUUUGCUGUCACUUAUAGAUGUAUCCGCGCCGCAUUAGCUAGUUGGUAAGGUAACGGCUUACCAAGGCAACGAUGCGUAGCCGACCUGAGAGGGUGAUCGGCCACACUGGAACUGAGACACGGUCCAGACUCCUACGGGAGGCAGCAGUAGGGAAUCUUCCGCAAUGGGCGAAAGCCUGACGGAGCAACGCCGCGUGAGUGAUGAAGGUCUUCGGAUCGUAAAACUCUGUUAUUAGGGAAGAACAAAUGUGUAAGUAACUAUGCACGUCUUGACGGUACCUAAUCAGAAAGCCACGGCUAACUACGUG
rnacentral:rRNA from 1 species